rnacentral:rRNA from 1 species
GAUGAACGCUGGCGGCGUGCUUAACACAUGCAAGUCGAACGAAGCACCUUGGAAUGCGUCUUCGGACAAAUGAAUUGGUGACUUAGUGGCGGACGGGUGAGUAACGCGUGGGUAACCUGCCUCACACAGGGGGAUAACAGUUAGAAAUGACUGCUAAAACCGCAUAACAUGGCGAGACCGCAUGACCUUGCCAUCAAAUAUUUAUAGGUGUGAGAUGGGCCCGCGUCUGAUUAGCUAGUUGGUGAGGUAAUGGCUCACCAAGGCGACGAUCAGUAGCCGGCUUGAGAGAGUGAACGGCCACAUUGGGACUGAGACACGGCCCAAACUCCUACGGGAGGCAGCAGUGGGGGAUAUUGGACAAUGGGGGAAACCCUGAUCCAGCGACGCCGCGUGAGUGAAGAAGUAUUUCGGUACGUAAAGCUCUAUCAGCAGGGAAGAAAAAUAACCAAAUUGACUGUACCUGACUAAGAAGCCCCGGCUAACUACGUGCCAGCCGCCGCGGUAAGAC